GCUCGGAAGAUGCUCCCGGUUGUUCACGAAACGGGUGGACCACCCUCGUCGCGACGGCGGCAUCGCGUCACCGCGGUUUCUCUCGGUGUCGCCGCGUCGGUUAUUCCCCAAGAGAACACGAGAAACACUGGUACCGGGAAAAUCAACAGACCAACAUCUACUGCCACAAUGAUGACCAUGGCCUUAACCGUCCUCUUGGUCCUGGUGCCCGCGGCGUUCCCGGACAAGAUUCCCAUUGGUGCCAUUUUUGAGCAAGGCACCGACGAAGUACAAUCCGCCUUCAAGUUCGCGAUGAUGAACCACAACCAGAAUAUUACGACCCGCAAGUUUGAGCUGCAAGCCUUCGUGGAUGUAAUUAAUACCGCGGAUGCCUACAAGCUCUCCCGCCUCAUUUGCAACCAGUUUAGCAGAGGCGUGUUUUCGAUGUUGGGCGCCGUAAGUCCAGACUCGUUCGAUACGCUGCACUCUUACAGCAACACCUUCCAGAUGCCAUUUGUGACACCCUGGUUCCCCGAAAAGGUCCUGACGCCGUCUUCGGGUCUCCUGGACUUCGCCAUAAGUAUGCGACCGGAUUACCAUCGCGCUAUCAUCGAUACGGUGCGAUACUACGGAUGGAAGAAAAUCAUCUACCUCUACGACUCCCAUGAUGGUCUGCUAAGGCUGCAGCAGAUUUAUCAGGGGCUGAAACCAGGCAACGAGUCCUUUCAAGUCGAAACCGUCAAGAGAAUACAGAACAUGUCAGAGGCGAUCGAUUUUCUACGCAGCCUGGAGGAACUUAACCGAUGGAGCAACAAAUACGUCGUUCUCGACUGCCCGACAGACAUGGCGAAGGACAUCGUUGUAAGCCACGUGAGGGACAUCGCUUUGGGAAAAAGGACGUAUCAUUACCUGCUGAGCGGUUUAAUAAUGGACGACCGAUGGGAGAGUGAGGUGAUCGAGUACGGUGCCAUCAACAUCACGGGCUUUCGCAUCGUGGACGCCACUCGACCUCACGUCAAGGAUUUCCUCGCCGCCUGGCAUCGCCUGGAUCCCGCCAUGUCUCAAGGCGCUGGUCGUGAAUCCAUUUCCGCGCAAGCCGCGCUGAUGUACGACGCCGUGUUCGUCCUGGUUGAAGCCUUCAACAAGUUCCUGAGGAAGAGGACCGAUAAACCUAGUACACGACGAAUUACUACGGGCGGCAAUCAGCCCACAAACGGAACGGAACGGAAGAUUGCUUUAGAUUGCUAUAACAAUCGCGGCUGGGUGACACCAUGGGAAUACGGCGACAAAAUCUCGAGACUUUUAAGAAAGGUCGAGAUUGAAGGGUUGACGGGGGAGAUACGGUUCAACGACGACGGUCGACGACAAAAUUACACGCUUCAUGUCGUCGAGAUGACUGUUAACAGCGCUAUGGUGAAAGUUGCCGAGUGGACCGAUGAAGCUGGUUUUCAAGCAAUAGCCGCAAAAUAUGUGCGACUUCGUCCGCAUGAAAUCGAAAAGAAUAAAACUUAUAUCAUUAGUACGAUAAUGGAGGAGCCUUACAUAAUGAAAAGAUCAUCAGACAACACUGAAGUGCUUGUCGGAAAUGAUAAUUAUGAAGGAUAUUGUAAGGAUUUAGCUGAUCUCAUCGCUAAAAAGUUGGGCAUAUCAUACGAGCUGCGGAUCGUGAAGGAUGCAAAAUACGGUACGGAGAACCCGGACGUUCCCGGCGGCUGGGACGGCAUGGUCGGGGAGCUUAUCAGAAAGGAAGCUGAUAUAGCGAUCGCUCCCCUGACUAUCACUUCCGAACGAGAACGCGUGAUUGAUUUUAGUAAACCAUUCAUGUCUCUCGGCAUCAGCAUCAUGAUAAAAAAACCCAUCAAACAAAAGCCCGGAGUCUUCAGCUUUCUGAAUCCGCUGAGCAAAGAGAUUUGGGUGUGCGUUAUUUUCUCCUACAUCGCAGUUUCUAUCGUCCUGUUUAUUGUGUCGAGAUUUUCGCCGUAUGAGUGGAGAGUCCUAACCAUUAGCGGCAGCACGGAUUCGACUAUUAGUGGACGAAAUGACCCCAGUUUGCAGCAUCCGCACACGCCUCAAGGUUCACCCCACAUGCCAACUUCUAGCAUGGCCAACGACUUCAGCAUCGUAAACAGCCUCUGGUUCGCUCUAGCGUCGCUUAUGCAACAGGCCUGCGAUAUUUCACCCAGAUCCAUAUCUGGUCGCAUAGCCGGGAGCGUCUGGUGGUUCUUCACUCUGAUUUUAAUAUCUUCCUACACUGCGAAUCUUGCCGCAUUUUUGACCAUUGAGAGAAUGGUCACGCCAAUUAAUUCACCCGAGGAUUUGGCGGCGCAAACGGAAGUACAGUACGGCACACUCGCUCAGGGCGCUACACGCGAGUUUUUUCGAAAAUCUCAGAUCAGUCUCUACAGCAAGAUGUGGGAGUUCAUGAAUUCGCGUAAGCACGUAUUCGUGAAGUCGUAUGAGGAGGGAAUACAAAGAGUGAGAACGAGUAAAGGCAAGUACGCGCUUUUAAUAGAAAGCCCGACAAAUGAGUACGUCAACGAGAGAGAACCUUGCGACACGAUGAAGGUCGGAAGAAACCUCGAUGCCCAGGGAUUUGGCGUCGCGACGCCGUUAGGAUCCCCUCUCAAGGAUCCCAUAAACUUGGCGGUGCUAUCGCUGAAGGAAAAUGGAGAAUUAGCGAAGCUGGUCGAACGAUGGUGGUACGAAAGGACAGAAUGCAGACACGGUGAUAAACAAGACGCUGUCAGAAACGAAUUAUCCCUGAGCAAUGUGGCGGGAAUAUUUUAUAUCCUCAUCGGUGGCCUUCUUCUGGCACUCGCCGUAGCUCUCUUGGAGUUUUGCUACAAAUCACACACAGAGGCGACAAGAGCGAAGGUAAUGAGACGCCAGAUACCGUUGUCGGACGCAAUGAAGGCGAAAGCACGACUUACCAUCGGUGGUGCUCGCGAUUUCGACAAUGGACGGUGGUACGGACUGCAGAGUUAGACGGAGGAUGCAUGCGCCUUUCCCGGGACCAUAACGCGGCAAGAAGCGAGUGCUGGCUGCGGAAGUGCCGACUUUGACGACGUUCGCGCCGAAGUACUACGCUCCAGCAAACGCGAUUGGGAACA
rnacentral:misc_RNA from 1 species